rfam:Ixodes scapularis strain Wikel colony gcontig_1108379479479, whole genome shotgun sequence.
UCCUGGUUAGCUCAGUUGGUAGAGCGCUCCACUGGAAAUGGAGAAGUCACUGCUUCCAUACCAGAACCAAGCG